AAGAUGUAGCCAUAAAAAGCAUCACAAAUUCAAAAGAAACAGCAAAUUCUGUCAUAUAACCCUUUUGAAGCUUAUGUUGACAGAUGUUGAUGACCCUACAUCCAGUUCCGUUCCUAUGUGACCAAUUCAUUCAGUCACGGUUAAGAACCGGCUUUCAACAAAUCUAAGAUUUGAACCCCACAGAUCCAGGAGCUAACCAGUAAACAUGUAUGUCUCAUUGACUAGCAUAGUCAUAAAUCAGCUCAUUGAGGGAACUGUUUUGUCAUGAAUUAACCAUAAUGACCAUCCUUUAGUCAUAGAGGGCAACCUUUCAAGGCUCGUUAGGAAUAUAAAGGGCUUCGCUAAUGCUGUCCCUCACCCUCAGCUUCCAAAAUGGCAAAACCCCAAUCAAACCAAGACAUGUUCCCUUUUCUUCACAAGUUCAAAUGAUCAACAUCUCUUCACAAGUUGUGUUGCGGUAGGCAGUUAAACAUAUAAAGGCUGCCCUUUUCUUCACCCAUAGACUUCCUGUUCUUCCAUCUUUAGGUUUUAUAAUACAGAGAAAAAGAAGUAUAAAGUAUUGGAUGACCCUACAAUACGAAUAAAGAAAAAAAACACCAAUUGCUGGACAAAAGUAGAGUAGGGGUAGGAUUACGUACCUCAUUUGUUGCUGUAAAGAUUAGAAAAAAACAAUCCAGAAAGAAAAUAUAUAGCCUCCUCUAAGUGGCUUCAUGAUAUCAGCUUGUAUGCUUUCAAUCAACAAAAUACGGACUUGAUCUUCAAAUGCUAUGGUCU
rnacentral:lncRNA from 1 species